UCGGGAAUUUUGGGCAAUGGGCGAAAGCCUGACCCAGCAACGCCGCGUGAAGGAUGAAGUAUUUCGGUAUGUAAACUUCGUAAGAAUAGGAAGAAUAAAUGACGGUACUAUUUGUAAGGUCCGGCUAACUACGUGCCAGCAGCCGCGGUAAUACGUAGGGACCAAGCGUUGUUCGGAUUUACUGGGCGUAAAGGGCGCGUAGGCGGCGUGGUAAGUCACUUGUGAAAUCUCCGAGCUUAACUCGGAACGGUCAAGUGAUACUGCUGUGCUAGAGUACAGAAGGGGCAAUCGGAAUUCUUGGUGUAGCGGUGAAAUGCGUAGAUAUCAAGAGGAACACCUGAGGUGAAGACGGGUUGCUGGGCUGAUACUGACGCUGAGGCGCGAAAGCUAGGGUAGCAAACGGGAUUAGAUACCCAUGUAGUCCCUGAGCGGGCUGGCAAGGCGCAU
rnacentral:rRNA from 1 species